ACCGGCGCUUUUUGUUUUGGUCAGUCGUGUGUAAGGAGUGCUACGGGGUGGUUGCAGUGUGUUGGUGCUGGACAGCCGCCACUGGACGCGAAUAGAGAUAAUGUCAGGUGAUAUUCAACCCAGGAAGCGCAAGGGAAAGGGAAAGAGGAAAGAUGACUUUGAAGAUGAAGUGAUCGAGACCAGGACGCACCACAACAACAACAAGAACCACAAUGCCAAGGUGGUCAGUAAUGGCGAUGCUGGUGGUGGUGGAGGUGGCAGCAGUGGCUUUGUGGCCAAGGCAAUCUUCCUCCUGCUGCUGGUGUCCUUGUCGUUGGUUGUGGCCCUUAUUCUAGUGGAGCUACGAGGCAAGGAGAAGGCUGCCAUGGAAGACAAUGUUUUGAAAGCUGAGGUGGGAGAGGAGAUGGUACCCCCGCCACCACCACCACCACCCCCGGCAAUGGAAGAGGAAUCUCCUCCAGCUGAAGCUUCUAUAGCACAGGAAGCUGAGGAAGAGGAGCCAGAGCCAUUAUCAGCCACACCACCAUUGGAAGAGUAUGUCAAGGUUGUGAGAGAGGUGGUGAUGGAGCCUCUCCCAGAUGAACCUCCUGUGCAGUCUGAAGCAGAAGAGGUAGAUAAACCUGAGGAUGCUGUUCCUGUAGUGGAGGAGGUGGUGGAAGUGGUGGAGGUGGUCACUCCUGUGGAAGAGGUAGUGGAGAUACUACCCACACCAGAAGUUGUGGAACCACCCUCAGAUAUACCAGCAGCAGAAGAGGCAGAUGAGGUACAGACUCCUCCUGCAGAAGAUGUUAAGACAGAAGAACCAGAGAUAGAAGACAAAGGAGAUAAUACUGUAAAAGAGGAAGCACCAGAAGAACCUGUGAUAGAGGACAAGGGAGAUGAUAUCAUAAAAGAGGAAGCACCAGAGGAACCAGUUUCUGCUGAGGUGGUGGAGCCUUUGGAGGCUGCCCCAUCAGCUGAAGAAGUAGAGGAGGAGGAAAAAUUGCCAGCUGAGGCCAUUGACGAUAAAGAACCUGCUGAAGAGGAACAGCCAGUAGUGGAUGAAGAUGAUGAAGAGGAGGAGGAGGAGGAAGAAAUAGAAUCACCUUCAGAAACUGUAGAGGGAAAAGCAGUUCAGGAAGAGGUGCCAGUGGAGGAAGAGAAAGAGGAGGAGGAAGAGGAUUGGUCCCAGUUUGGCAAGGAAGGAAGCACUGGAGCUCUGACAGAUGCCUACCUUAAAGUGGAGGUUUUAGCCGAGGACAUUCUGGCCUUGGAUCCCCAGAAUGCUAUGGUGGCCCAGCUGGCACCCCACAUGGCAGGCGUCCUGCGGUCCAUGGAAGAAGGGCAGACUGAAGGACUCCUAGAAACGCUCAACCAUAUUCAAGUGAUUCUGGAGGAUGUUAAGAAACGCGUCGAGGAGAAGGAGCCCAUCGUCAUCCCAGGACCUCCCCCUCAAGACAAGACGCCUGAGCCCCAAGAGCAGCCUGAGUCUGUGCCUGAAUCUGUUCCUGAGCCUGAGUCUGUGGUCGUAGGAGAGGCUGAAUUGAACUCUGAACCUGAGACUGUAGUAGAGCCACAGUUAGAACCUGUAUUACAGGGUGAUCCUGAAACCCAAACCUCUGUGGAACCAGACCAGCAUACAGAGCAAGAGCCUGAAGUAGUGUCUGAGGAAGCAGUGAUUGAUGGAGACUCUGGGACAAAGACUCAGGAAGCUUUAGAGACAGAGAAGGAAGCAGAGGUGGAGGCUGUAGAGACAGAGAAGGAAGCAGAGGUGGAGGCUGUAGAGACAGAGAAGGAAGCAGAGGUGGAGGCUGUAGAGACAGAGAAGGAAGCAGAGGUGGAGGCUGUAGAGACAGAGAAGAAAGCAGAGGUGGAGGCUGUAGAGACAGAGAAGGAAGCAGAGGUGGAGGCUGUAGAGACAGAGAAGAAAAUUGAGGUGGAAGCUUUUGAGACAGAGAAAGAAGCAGUAGUGGCAGACAAAGAAACACACACUGAGGAAGCAGUGCAGACAGAGAAGGAAGCAGAGGUAGAGGCUGUAGAGACAGACAAAGAUGCAGAGAUAGUGGCAGACUCAGAGACACAGACUGAGGAACCAGUACAGACAGAGACAGAGUCAGAAGUGGUGACUGAAACACAGCCAGAAACAGGGACAGACAGUGAAACAGGUGUUGAAAAAGAGGUGGAAGUAAAGACAGAAACACAGGAUGAGAAGGAAACAGAACACAUAGAGACUCAGAUUAUAGGAAAUGGAGAGCCAGAAGCAGAAAUAGUGAAAGAGGAAGAGGUAGAUGCAGAGAAACAGCCAGAUACAAUAGUAGAGACUGUUAAUGAGGCAGAGACACAGACAGGUGAGGCAGAAACAGAGAUUGAAUCAAAGCCAGCCACUCAGGAACAAUCAAUGCCAGUCUCAGUACCAGCAGAGGAAGAGUACAAAGCUCCUGAGACUUCAGGGAGCAUUUCUGAAGCUGAAAUCGCUGACAUAGAGGCUCAGAUCAUUCCUGAUGGUGCCCCAGAGGAUGCCCUGCUGCCAGGUCCUCCUCCAGCAGAGGAUGAAGAUCCUGUUACUUCACAGGUUGCUGAGGGAGGGCCUGAGCCAGAACCAGUUGAUGAAGUAAUUCCUGAUCCCAUUCACAUUGAACCUCUGCAGGAGCCAGCCAAAGAGCCACAAGUUGAGGCUGUGGAAGAGAAGCAGCCACUGGAUGUAGAGGAGAAGGUUGCCGAUACUGGUGCUGAUGGUGACAGCAUAAUUGAUAGCACAAUACGGAAAGAACUGGAGCAGGCAGAUGAGUUGCUGCCCGAGAACCCAGGAAAAGCCCUCAACGCCUUUGGGGCUCUUCUCCACUACAACCCUAAAUCAGCAAGAGCUAUAUAUGGUCGUGCCAGGUCUUUGGACCAACUGGCAGAGACUGAAAAGUCAAAUUCUAAACUGGAACAAGCAAUCGUGACCUACCGCUCACUCCUGGAUUUAGCUGAUGAGGAACCUGCCCUGGUGCCUCUCCCUUUACUGCGAGCAGCAGCUGAGAGGUGCAUCGACCGUAUGAAGUUCAGAGGGUUCUUUGGAAAGGCCCUCAGGGUGCAGCAGCGACUCCUACAACGCUUCCCAGAGGAUAUUGCCCUGAGAAAUAACAUGGGUGUUACUUACCUACUCAUGAAUCAGGGCUCAGCUGCCAAGGAGGUGUUUGAGGCAGUGCUGGAGCAGUGGCCAGAUGAUGGGUUUGCUCAGGUUCAUUAUGGGUUUGUGCUGAAGACAACUUAUAAUAAUGUGACUGGAGGAGCAUAUUACAUGCAAAAGGGUAUAGCAAGCAUGGCUGAGGGAACACAGGAUGAGCGGUUCUUCUUCCACCUGGGUGAUGCCUUGCAGCGACAAGGGAAGGUUGAAGAAGCUUACAAGAUUUAUGAUGAAGCAGUGGAGAGGGGCAUGUUCCUCAAUAGGUACCAGCGAUCCCUUUACAAUGUUGACAGAUUGACUUCACAACCUCUUUGGACUCUAGAACAAACAACGUAUCAGGUCUUCUUCAGGUGUGUUGCUUGCAUGGAAACUUGAGACAAACCAAACAGUUGGCAUCUGGCUGCAAGGCUAACUUCCUUCCAUCUCUUGAAACUUGAGGAAAACUGGGAGGUGAUUCGUAAUGAAGGUGUGGCCCUUCUGGGAUUGCCAAUUCAGGAUGGGUUUCGCCCAGAAGCAGAAAACCUUAGGGACAUUGGAGACUGGAAGCAGUAUGAGUUGUUCACUAAAGGACGUAAGAUCACAGCCAACUGUGUGAAAGCUCCAAGGACCUGUUCUCUGAUAGAACAGUUUCCAGCAGCUGCAGGCUGUAAAAGAGGGCAGGUCAAGUUCAGCGUGGUGCAGCCACACACCCACGUCCAUGCCCACACUGGCCCCACCAACUGCCGCCUUCGAGCCCACCUGGGCCUUGUGGUUCCCAAAGGGGUGCUUUUGAAGGUUGCAGAGAAGACUGUUACGUGGGAGGAAGGGAAGAUCUUUGUAUUUGAUGACAGCUGGGAGCAUGAAGUGUGGCAUGAGGGAGACUCCCUCCGACUUGUGCUCAUUGUAGAUGUCUGGCAUCCAGAACUCACUGAACAUGAGCGCAAAACUCUCUCACCUAUUUGAUGGGUGUCCUUUGGAGAUCUUUCUGUGGCCAGUAGUGUUUCGUGUCCAACAGUGUAGAUGAGGUUGAGGGGACACAUACCAUUAAUGUUGUAAGUUUAGAUCUGCUUCAAGUACUUAAGUUAUUCAUUCAGCUUUAUACACUUAAUUGAGAAUACAUUAACAUUUUCAGCCACUUUUCAUAUUCAAAUUUAAAAAAUAAAGUAACUGGGGCAUCAUUGUCUCAAAAAUUGUUUAUCCUUAAGAGAUUGUAUGGGAUAAGAUGUUAAUGGUUUGUCUUUACAUAAGCUUUAAUUACUGUAGCACAAACAUAGAUUUGCAUGGCUUGGAAUCAUCCAAGCUGAGAACAAUGCUGUAACUGUCCAGUAUUGGGACACAGACAAAAAUACCAUUUUCAUGGCCUCCUUAUUAAUAGUUCUUGGGGAUAGCGUAUUAUGUGAAAACUUCCAUAUUAAUAGCAGUUACUUACCCUUGUAGCACUGCUCUUUAUCAGUUUACCUUUCUUAAGAUAUUUGAGAAUUGCACAUCUCAUAAGAGUGACCUUGUGAGACUUUUCUGAGCUUUGAUCUCUAGGUUUAUCAGGAUUAGUGUGGUGCUUCUUGAGAUUUUGUUUUAAUACCAGAUUUAUUUCAUCAAAUUGGUGCUUUUCAUUUCAUUUUAUGCAUUUCAUUUGUGCAUUUUAUGCACAGAUUUAAUAAUAGUUCUUAUUCAUGUAUGAAUUUGUUAUUUAGUUUUAAAAACUGUCUCAAACAGCCCUAUUUUUUUUAUUGUUGUUGGUAGUGGAUUCUUCCCUGGAGAUAUCACCAAGGGAAGUGCCACUCUGCCUAUGACUGUCUAAAGAGACAUAAUUACUUGGCUCAUUGCUGCAUAUACUCAAAUGCAUACUUGCUUGCUCAUUCAUACUCCACAUCAGCCCACUGGAUACCUGCUCUAACAGCCUGUCACUUGAGGAAAGUAGCUCAUUGUAUUUCUUUGAGUACUUCUUUAUAACUAGUCUUAAAAUGUGAGUAUUAUUUACAGGUUCUGGUGUAAGGACCAGCUUAUGGUCAUGGAAUACUUCCUAGUGUGCCUUACUGCUGCUCAAGUGUUCAAUGCUGGGUGGCCUGAUAUGUGGCUCACCUCCACAUCUCAUUCUGGGAAAUUAUAGUCCUCAACAUUUGAAAGAGAAGUUAAUGGCCCGGUGGUUAGCAUGCUUGACUCACAACUAUUGAGAGAUCCAGGAUUUUAAUCUCCUUUCAGGCAUAGCUUGUCUCCCUUGAAGCUGGAGCCUCAUUUCAUAUGAUGUGUCCCUAAGUAGAAGUGUAACUGCACCAUCUCUGUUUGGCAGCAGCUGAAGGCUAGUAGCUCUGCCCUCCUAGAUGUGUAUGUGUGUGUGUGGUUUUACUUAUGACAAUAGGAGGAGGAGGAGGAGGUCAGGAAUCAUGGUCUUUGUGAGUGAGUGUGUGUGCGUGCAUGUGUGUGUGUGCACACUUGCAAUGAGAGGCAGAAGUGGUUUAUGUUGCAGCACAAGUGAUAAAUGAAAUGUAAUGUAUUUAUUAUAUCUCCUUAUUUGGUAAUGGACCAAAUAAUUACCAAGAGACACUGAUAUAACAGUUAAGAAAGAGCCUUUUGAAAAAAACUAGUAUAUAUGUUGAAAGUAGAUAUGUAAAGUUACAUUUAUCACUGAAUAAUUUGUCAUUGAUAUAAUUUUACUUUGGAUAAGAUCUUGGAAGCAUUAUAAGAUAUUUAGGACUUCUUUACCACAUAGCAGUAUGAUGUUAAUGAAAUGUUUGAAUAGUUGUGUUUCAUCAAGACACAACUAUGUUGUUAUUGUAAUUUUUGCUAAGAAUUGAGAAGAUGAUAGGAUGCAGUGAGUGUGUGCCAGGAGAGGAAUGCUCACAGUAUUGUUAUCAUAAUCAUCUUUAUGGAAGAAGCCCUACGUAAUGCAAAAGGUUUGUGUGAUGGUGAUGAUGGGAUGAUUUCCCUUCACUUCUGUGGGGCACAAAGCUGGCUGGGCUGAUGAUGGUCUGUGUACAAGGAUUUUUCUGUAGAUGUUUCUCUCUCGCUAAAUAAAGAAGAAAUAUUUA